UUGAUUUCAAAAGAAAUUAAUGAUGCAGAACACGAAUAUAUGAGUAUUGCUCUCCCCCCCCCCCCAAUUAUCGAGUUUGCUACGCCAUUGAGCGAUGCUGAGACAGAGAUGACAGCAGCGAUGCUGUGAAUGAUUCAACUCAUUCAGCAAUGUCCUGCCUUGAAUAAAAUAAUCAACAAAAAGAAUAAAAAUAAUAAUUGAAUUUAGAGAUACGGCGAGUAUCUUUAGCGCAGGUUUUGGCGUAGUUUAAUAUAAUUUUUGUACCGAUAUUUUUAUACAAAUUUCUAUAAAUUAUGGUGAUAGAUAGCGGGACAUUCAAUUAUUAACACGACAUUUUAUAAUCUAGGUAUUGCA